AGAUACUUACUGAUAAAAUCAAAACAUAAGUAACUAGCCUAAGCUAAACAGCAGGUAGAGAUAGAGAUUACGUUCCACCCGUGCAGACCAAAGACAUGGAGUAGCUUGUGGUACGUCACUGUGAAGAGUUUGGGUGUGAACCUCUCAUUUUUCUGGCACUAUGUAAAGAAAAAAACAUCUCCCCUUUGCCCCUGGACUGUUACGCACAAAGCAUCUAGCUGGCUGAAACUUCACUUUCCUCCAGGAGCAAUAUUGUAGAGAAUUGUAUCUUCUCUAGUGUACAGAAUUGCUCUGACAGCUUAUCACUGCUUGUUUAACAGUUGACUGUUCUCACUUCCUUUAGGCGCUAGAGAAUAAGCAUAGUGAAACAAUUACCGGGCUCCAUUGAUGCACUAACCCUCAAAGCCUCCUUGCUGUUGAGUUCCAAAAACCAGCUUCAUUCACUGUUAAUUGAGGUUUGUCUUCCAGAGUUUCUGAAGGGUGAUGAUUCUUCAGCCAUCGCAGCCACAAUUAUAUUCACUGAGUCAUGGACAGCUAUUUUCAACAGACCUUCCUAUAACGCUUUGGCAUAAGUUAAAGGUGGUGGCUAAAUCUCUUCAUUUUGUCAAAAUUUUGCACUUUGUAAGUGUAGGACUAGAAAAAACAAAACAACUGGAUCAGAGUGCAGUCUUCUAUAGCUGCAAAAACAAAUCAAUAGACAUUAAUUUCAGGCUUGGACAAUACCUCCUUCAUCCCUCUCCACAUACCAUGGGCCACAGAGCCAACUUCCUGUCAAGCUUUGAAAACUUUAAAAUUUUGAUAAAAGAUCAAAAGCAGUUGGACUGCAAGAAUAUCAUAAGAGAGAUCAAGAGUACUACCAGUGUCUUAGAUACUUUCAAAGAUAAAGACUGAACUCCUCAAAAAAUAAUCUUCCACUGUCUUUACAGUUGUGGGGUUUGCUGGUCCAUAUUAACUCUCCAUUCCUUGGGUUUGUUUAAGAUAAAGCAGAAUGUCAACCUCUUUUCAAUUACCUCAAGAAACAGAUAACAUGAAAUUUCAUUUCAUUCAGCUUUCCUUUAUUUCUGCUUAAUAGACCUAAAGCUGUUCAACAAUGGUUUACUAUAUCCUGGACUGCAUGGCUUUUCGUUGAACUCUCUUCCCAGCUCAUGUUCAUGAGCUCAAAAACCUAAGUCACAGACAUACUAGCUGAGGAUGCAAGUUGCUCUGUAAUUAAUCCUGGAAGGGGCACCAGGAAGCCAGGUAGAAUCCAUCAAUCUAAACUUACUUGUUAAAAGUCUGGAAAAAUACCUCAUACUUUCAGAAUUCCAUGAGAAGUAUCUGUUCAGCCCUGGAAGCCGUUUUAGGAAAAGGCAGAGUUUAUUUGAAAUGCAACUCAAACACACUUGAGUCCUUCAACAGCCACUUCAAAAUAGAGAAGGCUCUUGGCACUGUGUCUGAUGGAGCAGAAGGUCUGUGCUGAACCUCACUUGUAGGCAGCCCUGUGUGCUACUGCUCUCUGCUUGUGGGAACUGUACUGUGUUGUGCAACCAAAACACCUGCCUAAGUGGUCAUCUGGAUCUUCCUCAUUGGAAGACUCUUCUCUGCUACAUAGGGUGGCAGUGUUGGCUGUGCUUUCUGGGAGGGCUUAUUUUGGGAACAGCCAUGCUUCAGGAAGCUGCUGGGACUUAUCAGCCCCUGAGAGGAUGCUGAGAGCAGAUAAAAUUGAAAUAGCUUGCAAGGACCUCUGUGGCAUUGCUGAGAACCUGGCUCAGAUUAUCACCUGGACUCAGCUUGGCCUUGUGGAAUCUAUCUUUGGAAGCAGUGGUGGCAGUGCUGGAGUCAGUGUUGUGCAGCUACAAAGGAUGGAGCUGUCAAAGUGGAUUUGGAGUUGGAUUUGAAGAUCAUUUUAAAUUUGUAUAUUUAAAAGUGGAGAAGUAUGCCUGCAGGUUUCCAAUAAAAAAAAAAAAAAAUGGAGGCAUCACUUUUGGGACAUCCUCUGGACUAAAAUACUCUUAGCAUCAGUGAAAUAAAGCUGGAUGGUACAUAGUGUCCCAGCACUGGAUGAAGCUGUGAUAAUUAACUUUUAAAGCUUUAAAACUUCA